CACCAACAGACGGUUUCAAGCUCCCCGCGACGGCAGCAGCCCCUGUUCGGAUCGGCAAUGUUGAGGAUGGAUGUAGCCUGCUAGAAAAAAAAGACACCGGGGCACAGUGAGAGAGAGAGAGAGAGAGAACACUACUGCUGUGUAGCUAUGGAGAUCGUAAGUGGUCGCUUUCUUUGACAGGUGUCGGAACCGGACUGAAUAAAAAGUAUCGAAACCAGCUUCAAGGAUGUACGCCAAGGGGAAAGGUGCUGUUGUGCCCUCAGAUAACCAAGCAAGAGAAAAGUUAGCGUUGUACGUAUAUGAGUACCUGCUGCAUGUAGGAGCACAGAAGUCUGCACAGACCUUCUUGUCAGAGAUACGAUGGGAGAAGAAUAUUACUUUAGGGGAGCCUCCUGGAUUCCUACACUCAUGGUGGUGUGUAUUCUGGGAUUUGUAUUGCGCUGCGCCGGACAGACGGGAGAACUGCGAACACUCCAGCGAGGCCAAGGCCUUCCAUGAUUACAGUGCGGCAGCAGCCCCCAGUCCUGUGAUGGGGAACAUGCCUCCUAAUGAUGGCAUGCCAGGAGGACCCAUGCCACCUGGAUUCUUCCAGGGUCCGCCAGGCUCCCAGCAGUCUCCUCACGCACAGCCCCCCCACGGCAUGGGACCACACGGACAGCCUUUCAUGUCGCCACGGUUUCCAGGUGGACCCCGCCCCUCUCUCCGAAUGCCAAAUCAGCCUCCAGGGGGAAUCCCUGGUUCUCAGCCUCUCCUGCCAAACAGCAUGGACCCCACCAGGCCACAAGGACAUCCUAAUAUGGGCGGGCCAAUGAGAAUGAACGCUCCACGAGGAAUGGGGCCCAUGGGUCCACAGAACUACGGGGGGUAUGCGACCUCCUCCUAACUCCAUGGGUGGUCCUAUGCCUGGGAUGAACAUGGGACCUGGUGGUAGAGGGCCGUGGCCUGGUCCCAAUGCUAACUCAAUACAAUACUCCUCCUCAUCUCCAGGCCACUAUGUGGGUCCUCCAGGAGGAGGAGGGCCGCCCGGAACUCCCAUCAUGCCCAGCCCAGGUGACUCCAACAACUCCAGUGAAAACAUCUACACUAUGAUGAACCCUAUAGGACCAGGAGGAAACAGACCCAACUUCCCUAUGGGCCCGGGGCCUGAUGGACCGAUGGGAGCUAUGGGAGCCAUGGAACCUCACCACAUGAACGGCUCACUAGGCUCUGGGGACAUGGACGGGUUGCCAAAGAACUCUCCUAACAACAUGGGGGGUAUGAGCAACCCUCCUGGGACGCCGCGGGACGAUGGAGAGAUGGGUGGAAACUUCCUCAACCCAUUCCAAAGUGAAAGUCCCCUCGGAACUCUCGCCGCUACCCAGGCUUCUAGGACAGCCCUGGGGCAUGCUGGGCCUCUAGUGAAGGCGGAGCUUCCCGACGCUGUCUGUGGCAUAGACAGGAAACAGAGACACAGGAAGUCCCUACUCUCUAACCCCGUCCCCUGCCUCUCUGACUUCUUGUCAGGGUCUGGACAAUGAGAGAGGGGAUGAGAGAAAGAAAGAUGGAGAGACUGGAUAACAUGGACACCCUUCAGGACACAGCAUGGUAGGGUUCUGUCAGUAGCUGUCUGGAAGCUCUACAAACAUUACAUUGGCAUUCACUUUUAUUUUGAUGUUUUUAUUGUUUCUAAUGGAUUUGAUUGUGUUUCUAAUGGAUACAGGGGUGGAACAGGGAACGAAUCUCGAAUGAUCCCCUUUUCCCUAUGUAGUGCACUACUUUAGAGGAUUAGGGUGUCAUUUGAGACGUAGACAUGGAAGUGUCGCCCACCCCCCCCCCCCUCCCCCCUCGCUCACUCUGUGUAUACAUUUAAAAAACAAAAGUGUUGUGAUGUUUUCCAUUACUCUGUAUGUAAUGUAUUAUUGCUAUUCUUUUAUAAUAUUUUAUUGUUAUGAUUUAAUAAUAUUGUUAUGAUGAUUUCUGGUUAUUUUAAAAUGUAGGAUUUCAUUUUUGUUGUUGUUGAAAGGGCAUGCACCCACUGAUGACCUCUUCGUUAGUAACUUCACAGGACGGUCAACCUUCACUAGUCUCCUUAAGGAAAACCCACAGGAUAUACACAAUCUACUGCCCCCUCUUUGCCCAGUCAGAGAACAGCACCUUGGUCCAUCAUGGUACUUUAAAUUGGAAUGUCCCUCUCCAUCCCCCCUGUGAAUGAGUUUUCUCUGUAGUAGACUAAGUGACCCUGAACAUGCAGAGGAUGCACAGUUGUAUUUAUUUGUUUAAUUUCCCUUUGAGACAGACGUAUUGUCAACCUGUUCUAUCUGCACACUCCGAGAAUCACUCUGCACCAAUCAGCAUCCAUCUCCUAGAGGAAGACAUCUUGGAAGUGUCUGGUUUUUGUUUUAAUUGUUUUUUUUUUUUUUACCCAGAGGGAAGUUCUUCUGACCUUCUGUGAAAUUAUUCUGCUUGGAUGCUUAAAGGACUCUUGUAACAGAGCCGAGCCAAUCAGGAGGUGGUAUGGCAAUUGCCAUGGUAACUGGCUGGCAAGCUCCCCCCCCCCAAGAGGACAACAUUUGUCUUUACACACACACAACCAACCAAUCGGCCUACCUACACCAUCCCCCUCCCCAACCACCUCUCUCUCCUUUUGUGACGUCUCCAUCUGUCUUUGGUUUGUUUUGUAAAUACUGUAAAGUGAAUUUUGAUAUCAUGACAUGUUUUGAUAUUUCCGUCACAACCAAUGACUGAGAAAUGAGUUGAUUCAGACCAACUUGGUUUGAAAGAGACAGUGUGUGUUUUUACAGUACCUCACUGUUUAACUCAGACACAACUAGGGCCAGGAGGAACCCUCUUUUAUUAGAUCAUUAUGUAGUUAGGAACUACAACUAACAUUUAGAGUCCAGAGUAUUUCCUGGCCAGGUCAAGCUGUUAGGGAAAUCUCCUGUCCCUAGUAACGAUAGAUGAAAAGAAAAUGAUUGUUUUCUAUUAAGGAUUUUUCUGUAUUUGAAUUGAGAAAAGAUGUUAAAACACAGGUUCUUAAUGAUAUGAAGAGAGAGUGUGAAGGGGGGGGAAAGGCUUCUGGUGUAUUUUGGGAUACUGCUGUAUAGAUUCAACUCUGAACCAUAUUCACUAAGGGCAAAUCUGAAAUGCACCCAAUUCCCUAUAUAGUGCGCUACUGAAGCCAAAAGUAGUGCACUACAUAGGGAAUAGGGUGGCUUUUGGAACGUGCCCUAAUUUGCACCAGUGCAAAGUGUUUAUUGUUGGAAGAGGAUAAUUAUUGGAAAGCGAACCGUGAAACUGUUUGUUUUUAAAAUGUGAGAUAUAUUUACUUACCAUAACUAGGGCUAGGAGUGUUUUAUGUGCCCUUGUCAGUGGAGGCUGCUGAGGGGAGGAUGGCUCAUAAUAUUGUCUGGAAUGGAGCGUGGAACCAUGUUUGAUCUAUGUAACAUUUCGGGCUCCAGCCAUUAGCACAAGCCCGCCGUCCCCAAUUAAGGUGCACCAACCUCCUGUGGUCCUUGUCAUUUCAUGUGCUCUGGAAAAACUCAUGACCUUCAUUUGACCUUUCCACUCUGCCCAUACGGAAGAGGACUCCUCUUUAUCUGUGACCGCAUGGGCAGCGCCAUUGAGGCUACAACCCAUAGGAAUCCCCAUCCGGUUGACCGCUUUAGUAUGGUGGAAGCCGUCAAUGGCGCUGCCCAUGCUAAAACGGCAUUUUGGCCACUAUAGGCCUCUCUUUCUCUAUGGCUCUACCUUUUUCAAGUUGUUUCCUGACUGUGACCUGUUCAGGGAAACCUCCUGGCCCUAGUUCUUCCAUUCUGAUCGCGAGGUGUCAAACUGCACCGGUGCAAACGCCGCUCCUGUAUGUAAAAUCAACGUUGUCACAUUGUCGGUCAUUUCUGUGUUUCUAUGGUAAUGUAUAAUACUGUUUCAUUCUGGGAGGGUUGAAAGGAGGGGACAGUGGGUAAGGAAACAUUUUUCUGUUCCUUGGGUUUAUCCAUCUCGCUAGUCUGAAGUAGCGUCCUCCUCUCCCUUCACCUGCACUGACGUGGAAGAUGGGUCUGUGGAGAUGACGUGAGGAGAGGAAGCCACUUUAGCAUUGAGAUGCAGACCAUGUUUUUCUCUGACGACAAAGCAGUAUUGAAUACGAGGCCGUCUGUUUUUCAGAAUAUUUAGUCCAUUACAAUGAUCCUGUGUUUUUAAAUUCUGUUAACCCCUUUUCGAUUGGGUGCCACUUUGAUUUGAAGAUCCAACUGAAAGAGAACUCGGACUCUCUUGCAGUGCUGUGUAUAUAAAUGAUCCCCAUGACAUUUAGUUGGAAUAUUGCCAUAUUCAGGUUCUUUUCAAAAGCAGCGGGAACAUAAUCUAAUGGGGCAACACGGUAUCAUGCCAAUCUGGAUUAAACAUUGUGAAGAACUGCUUCCUGGGUUUGCUUUGUAUUUCCUGAUAGGCUAGUUUCCGCUCCUAAAUGUCUUGUGUAGUAAUAAAACGUUUCCUAUUUGUACGUUUUCUUUAUGUUGUAAUAAAGUUUCUUUAGAGACUGAUUAAAAAGUUGCUUAUUGGGGGGGGGAAGGGAAGGUGGGAAAUCUUGCAUCAAUAAUAAAUGUCAUUUGUUUUGGGUUUUUCACCGAGUCAUCAGUUUUUUUUUCCUCCCUGUGUCCUUCUUGUUGUUGUAGAUACAUCAAAAAAAACAAAUAAAAUUACUUCACUA